CCUUAGAUAAAUCCACUUGUUUUGGUCGCUUUUUCUUUUUGGAGGAUUUGGAAUCCUGAUCGUAGUAAAGUUUGUACUUCUUCUCUGUUCUCCGGAAUGCUGUUCGCUCCGAUGCCACUUCAUCGUUGACUUUGUCGGAGCCGUACAUUUCUGUGAGUCGUGCUACGGAGGGGGGAAUCGCUCGCUCUCUCGAUUUUCAAACUUAGGGUUUUUAAUUAUUCCAUAGCAGGUGAUCCUAGUUUUUCCUUUGAAAAAAAAAAAAAUCCUAGUUUCACUGCGU
rnacentral:misc_RNA from 1 species